UACGUAGGGGGCAAGCGUUGUCCGGAUUUACUGGGCGUAAAGAGCGCGUAGGCGGAGAUCUAAGCGUGGCCUGAAAGCCCCCGGCUCAACCGGGGAGUGCGGCUGCGAACUGGGUUUCUUGAGGACGAUAGAGGAGAGUGGAAUUCCUGGUGUAGCGGUGAAAUGCGUAGAUAUCAGGAGGAACACCCGAGGCGAAGGCGGCUCUCUGGGACGGUACUGACGCUGAGACGCGAAAGCGUGGGGAGCGAACAGG
rnacentral:rRNA from 1 species